GAACGCACCUUGCGCUCCUUGGUACUCCGAGGAGCAUGCCUGUUUGAGUGUCAUUAAAUUCUCAACCUUAUCAGUUUUGUAAUGAGACUGUGAGGCUUGGAUUGUGGGGGUUUGUGCAGGCUGCCUCAGUGCGGUCUGCUCCCCUGAAAUGCAUUAGCGAGUUCAAACUGGGCUCCGUCUAUUGGUGUGAUAAUUAUCUACGCCGUGGAUUGGGCUUAGACUUGCUUCUAACCGUCUGCAAGGACAAUAUUUUGACAAUUUGACCUCAAAUCAGGUAGGACUACCCGCUGAACUUAAG
rnacentral:misc_RNA from 1 species